CCCAGCUUCCCCACUCGUAUUCGCGUUAGUCUUCCUCUGAUCAUGUGAGCUUGGGCACAUUUAUUGAUGAUCGUCUGACAUCGCAAAAAGAUAUUGAUGAUCACUCACAGCCCAUCGCUAAAUGCUAAUGCAAUGAGAGAGUGUCGGCGAGAAGGUUCGCGCGGUGAGGAAGGGAGCACUGUCAGUCUCCCGUGGGGGCGCCGCACGUGGCCGUCGCUUUCUACGCCGACGGGCUCCUCGCGUGGAGCUCCCACCACCGAACGCGAGUGGCUGUCGCCACGAGGAAACCGGAGCCACCGGCCGGUCCAUGUGUAAUGACAGCUAGGAGAUUCGACGGUUCAUGCACCACGCACGUUGGCUUAAUCCAAACAGCAACUCAAAUACACAACUAAGAAA